rnacentral:rRNA from 1 species
UACAGAGGGUGCGAGCGUUAAUCGGAUUUACUGGGCGUAAAGCGUGCGUAGGCGGCUGAUUAAGUCGGAUGUGAAAUCCCUGAGCUUAACUUAGGAAUUGCAUUCGAUACUGGUCAGCUAGAGUAUGGGAGAGGAUGGUAGGAUUCCAGGUGUAGCGGUGAAAUGCGUAGAGAUCUGGAGGAAUACCGAUGGCGAAGGCAGCCAUCUGGCCUAAUACUGACGCUGAGGUACGAAAGCAUGGGGAGCAAACAGGAUUAGAUACCCUGGUAGUCCAUGCCGUAAACGAUGUCUACUAGCCGUUGGGGCCUUUGAGGCUUUAGUGGCGCAGCUAACGCGAUAAGUAGACCGCCUGGGGAGUACGGUCGCAAGACUAAAACUCAAAUGAAUUGACGGGGGCCCGCACAAGCGGUGGAGCAUGUGGUUUAAUUCGAUGCAACGCGAAGAACCUUACCUGGUCUUGACAUAGUAAGAACUUUCCAGAGAUGGAUUGGUGCCUUCGGGAACUUACAUA